GAUGAACGCUGGCGGCGUGCCUAAUACAUGCAAGUCGAGCGAACAGACGAGGAGCUUGCUCCUCUGACGUUAGCGGCGGACGGGUGAGUAACACGUGGAUAACCUACCUAUAAGACUGGGAUAACUUCGGGAAACCGGAGCUAAUACCGGAUAAUAUAUUGAACCGCAUGGUUCAAUAGUGAAAGACGGUUUUGCUGUCACUUAUAGAUGGAUCCGCGCCGCAUUAGCUAGUUGGUAAGGUAACGGCUUACCAAGGCAACGAUGCGUAGCCGACCUGAGAGGGGGAUCGGCCACACUGGAACUGAGACACGGUCCAGACUCCUACGGGAGGCAGCAGUAGGGAAUCUUCCGCAAAGGGCGAAAGCCUGACGGAGCAACGCCGCGUGAGUGAUGAAGGUCUUCGGAUCGUAAAACUCUGUUAUUAGGGAAGAACAAAUGUGUAAGUAACUAUGCACGUCUUGACGGUACCUAAUCAGAAAGCCACGGCUAACUACGUG
rnacentral:rRNA from 1 species